GACGAACGCUGGCGGCGUGCUUAACACAUGCAAGUCGAACGGAAAGACCCUGCUUUUGUGGGGUGCUCGAGUGGCGAACGGGUGAGUAACACGUGAGUAACUUGCCCUUGACUUUGGGAUAACUUCAGGAAACUGGGGCUAAUACCGGAUAGGAGCUCCUGCUGCAUGGUGGGGGUUGGAAAGUUUCGGCGGUUGGGGAUGGACUCGCGGCUUAUCAGCUUGUUGGUGGGGUAGUGGCUUACCAAGGCUUUGACGGGUAGCCGGCCUGAGAGGGUGACCGGCCACAUUGGGACUGAGAUACGGCCCAGACUCCUACGGGAGGCAGCAGUGGGGAAUAUUGCACAAUGGGCGGAAGCCUGAUGCAGCAACGCCGCGUGCGGGAUGACGGCCUUCGGGUUGUAAACCGCUUUCGCCUGUGACGAAGCGUGAGUGACGGUAAUGGGUAAAGAAGCACCGGCUAACUACGUG
rnacentral:rRNA from 1 species